rnacentral:rRNA from 1 species
AAAGUUGCAAAGCACUUUGAAGAGAGAGUUAAAGAGGACGUGAAACCGAUGAGAUGGAAACGGACAGAGCUGGCGUAUCUGGUCUGCAUUCAUCCGUGUGUUCUUGGGCGUUUGGAUUGCCACUCUCCAGACUGGGAUGGUGUUCAUUCUGUUCAGGGGCUCAUGGAGCAUUUGCAGGCGGAGUGCGCUGAGAUGCUCGGAGCAGCUGCAUGAGCUUGGCUUUGAGGCCAGCCCUUCGGGGUCUGGUACCCGGGCUGUGGGAGUGCUGUUUGUUCUGGGUGCUGAGUGUGUGCAAUGGCAACGGGUCCGUGUUGGUUUGAGCUGGCGGUCGGUGGCGGUCGCGUGCGACACGUGCCAGCAGUCAGUUCGGUCCUGCUCGGGCUCUCAUUGCAUGUUCUCGGUGUAAAAGCCGGUCAUCUGUCCGACCCGUCUUGAAACACGGACCAAGGAGUUUAGCGUGUGCGCGAGUCAUUGGGAGUUGAAAACCCAAGGGCGUAAUGAAAGUGAAGGUCUCCUUGCGGAGCUGAUGUGUGAUCUCGUGCACCCCGGUGUGCGGGCGCAACAUAGUCCCGUCCCGAUCGCAUGCGAUGGGGCGGAGACAGAGCGUACGCGCUGAGACCCGAAAGAUGGUGAACUAUUCCUGAGCAGGAUGAAGCCAGAGGAAACUCUGGUGGAAGUCCGAAGCGAUUCUGACGUGCAAAUCAGAGUCGUCGUGAC